rfam:Aspergillus sydowii CBS 593.65 ASPSYscaffold_10_Cont400, whole genome shotgun sequence.
GGCCGGGUGGCCUAAUGGUAAGGCGCCAGUUUUCGGUUCUGUGAAACACCCUCACACUGGAGAUUGCGGGUUCGAGCCCCGUCUCGGUCA